AAUGAACGCUGGCGGCAUGCCUAAUACAUGCAAGUCGAACGGCAACACGGUAAGCUUUCUCCUUUACCGUUAGCGACUGACGGAUGGGUGACGCGUAGAUCACAUUCUUCUUUUUCUUGGGGGAUAACGUGGGGCCAGUUAUAAUAACACCUCAUAUAUUCUACGGCUUGGUUCAGUAGAUCUUCGCACCUUUCGCGAUUCUAUGAGCCGAUGUCGGAUUAGCUAGUUGGCGGGGUAAAGGCCCACCAAGGCGACGAUCCGUAGCUGGUCUGAGAGGAUGAUCAGCCACACUGGAACUGAGACACGGUCCAGACUCCUACGGGAGGCAGCAGUGGGGAAUAUUGGACAAUGGGCGCAAGCCUGAUCCAGCCAUACCGCGUGGGUGAAGAAGGCCUUCGGGUUGUAAAGCCCUUUUGUUGGGAAAGAAAAGCAGCAGGUUAAUACCCCGCUGUUCUGACGGUACCCAAAGAAUAAGCACCGGCUAACUUCGUG
rnacentral:rRNA from 1 species